UACGUAGGGGGCGAGCGUUGUCCGAAUUUACGGGGCGUAAAGCGCACGUAGGCGGACUUUUAAGUCGGGGGUGAAAUGCCGGGGCUCAACCUCGGAACUGCCUUCGAUACUGUGAGUCUUGAGGCUGGAAGAGGUGAGUGGAAUUCCUAGUGUAGAGGUGAUAUGCGUAGAUAUUAGGAGGAACACCAGUGGCGAAGGCGGCUCACUGGUCCGGUUCUGACGCUGAGGUGCGAAAGCGUGGGGAGCAACCAGG
rnacentral:rRNA from 1 species